UGGGGAAUAUUGCACAAUGGACGGAAGUUUGAUGCAGCGACGCCGCGUGGAGGGUGUAGGCCUUCGGGUUGUGAACUCCUUUUUCUCGCGAAAAAGGCACAGUUUUGGCUGUGUUGAUGGUAGUGGGGGAAGAAGCGCCGGCUAACUACGUGCCAGCAGCCGCGGUAAUACGUAGGGCGCGAGCGUUGUCCGGAUUUAUUGGGCGUAAAGAGCUCGUAGGUGGUUCGUCGCGUCUGUCGUGAAAGCCAGCAGCUUAAUUGUUGGUCUGGGGUGGGUACGGGCGGGCUUGAGUGCGGUAGGGGUGACUGGAAUUCCUGGUGUAGCGGUGGAAUGCGCAGAUAUCAGGAGGAACACCGAUGGCGAAGGCAGGUCACUGGGCCGUUACUGACACUGAGGAGCGAAAGCGUGGGGAGCGAACAGG
rnacentral:rRNA from 1 species